rnacentral:tRNA from 1 species
CAUAGAGUAGCUUAGUGGUAGCGCGCCUGUUGUGUGUGCAGGUGGUCGCGGGUUCGAUCCCCCCCCCUCGCG